CUACGGGCCGCUGCAGUGAGGAAUAUUGGUCAAUGGGCGCAAGCCUGAACCAGCCAUGCCGCGUGAAGGAUGAAGGCCUUAUGGGUUGUAAACUUCUUUUAUACGGGAAUAAACUUAGCUAUGUAUAGCUAACUGCAGGUACCGUAAGAAUAAGCACCGGCUAACUCCGUGCCAGCAGCCGCGGUAAUACGGAGGGUGCAAGCGUUAUCCGGAUUUAUUGGGUUUAAAGGGUCCGCAGGCGGACUAAUAAGUCAGUGGUGAAAUCUCUCGGCUCAACCGAGAAACUGCCAUUGAUACUGUUAGUCUAGAGUGUAGUUGGCGUAGGCGGAGUGUAUCAUGUAGCGGUGAAAUGCUUAGAUAUGAUACAGAACACCGAUCGCGAAGGCAGCUUACGAAACUACAACUGACGCUCAGGGACGAAAGCGUGGGAAGCGAACAGGAUUAGAUACCCGCGUAGUC
rnacentral:rRNA from 1 species